GACGAAGGGGGCUAGCGUUGUUCGGAAUUACUGGGCGUAAAGCGCGUGUAGGCGGUUGCCAUAGUCAGGUGUGAAAGCCUUGAGCUUAACUCAAGAAAUGCACUUGAUACUGGGCGACUAGAGGACCGGAGAGGAUAGUGGAAUUCCCAGUGUAGUGGUGAAAUACGUAGAGAUUGGGAAGAACACCAGUGGCGAAGGCGGCUCGCUGGAACGUAACUGACGCUGAGACGCGAAAGCGUGGGGAGCAAACAGG
rnacentral:rRNA from 1 species